rnacentral:snoRNA from 13 species
UGGUUGGUUUCCUGGGGAGUGGGCUCAGCAUACCCCACCUCCCCUCAGCCAAGCCUAGAGUAGAGAGGCCAGGCAUCCUCUCUGUGGGGGAGGCAUUCAAGUAAGGUGCCUCGCCUAGGCUAUCCAAGCCUCACAUUG